rnacentral:rRNA from 1 species
UACGGAGGGUGCAAGCGUUAUCCGGAUUCACUGGGUUUAAAGGGUGCGUAGGCGGGUAUGUAAGUCAGCGGUGAAAUCCCCCGAGCUUAACUUGGGAACUGCCGUUGAUACUAUAUAUCUUGAAUGUCGUGGAGGUUAGCGGAAUAUGUCAUGUAGCGGUGAAAUGCUUAGAUAUGACAUAGAACACCCAUUGCGAAGGCAGCUAACUACGCGAAUAUUGACGCUGAGGCACGAAAGCGUGGGGAUCAAACAGG